rnacentral:rRNA from 1 species
AUUGAACGCUGGCGGCAGGCCUAACACAUGCAAGUCGAACGGUAACAGGAAGAAGCUUGCUUCUUUGCUGACGAGUGGCGGACGGGUGAGUAAUGUCUGGGAAACUGCCUGAUGGAGGGGGAAAACUACUGGAAACGGUAGCUAAUACCGCAUAACGUCGCAAGACCAAAGAGGGGGACCUUCGGGCCUCUUGCCAUCGGAUGUGCCCAGAUGGGAUUAGCUAGUAGGUGGGGUAACGGCUCACCUAGGGGACGAUCCCUAGCUGGUCUGAGAGGAUGACCAGCCACACUGGAACUGAGACACGGUCCAGACUCCUACGGGAGGCAGCAGUGGGGAAUAUUGCACAAUGGGCGCAAGCCUGAUGCAGCCAUGCCGCGUGUAUGAAGAAGGCCUUCGGGUUGUAAAGUACUUUCAGCGGGGAGGAAGGGAGUAAAGUUAAUACCUUUGCUCAUUGACGUUACCCGCAGAAGAAGCACCGGCUAACUCCGUG